AUGGUCACUGGCAUGAUUGAUUCCGAAACCAGCUUCAAAAGCAUUGCCAGCAUAACCAUUGCAAAGUUUAACGCGGAAAUAAACUGUGGAAUCCUCGUCCUUGAGGUUGUUCAUGGACCCAAACUCGGGAACAUCCUGGCCACACCCAUGAGCUACCGCCGGCUCCUGGCCCUGCUGAUCCUGCUGCCCCUCCCAGACGUUUCGAUGGUGAUGCUGGCGGCCGUGACCCUGCUGGAGUCCGGGGGGCACCUCCAGACCCCUGGGGGGUCCCUGAACUUGCUGUGCCGCGCCUCUGGCUUCAAUUUCAAAAAAUCUGCAAUGUUCUGGAUGCGCCAGAGACCCGGGCUGCGGCUGGAGUACGUUGCGGCGAUCAACGGUGAUGAUUCCACCCCCAGAUACGCGCCAUCGGUCAAGGGCCGGUCCACGAUCUCCAGGGACAAUGGGCAGAGCUCGGUGACGCUGACCAUGAACAACCUCAAGGACGAGGAUUCCGGAUCCUAUUGCUGUGCCAAAAGCGCCUAUGAUGGUUGGGGUUGA